GCAACAGCUCAGAUUGGAAUCUGGCCCCCAGGCCGCGAGUUGUAAUCUGGAGAGGAUGCUUCUGGCGCGGCGCCUUCCGAGUUCCCUGGAACGGGACGCCGGAGAGGGUGAGAGCCCCGUACGGUCGGACGCCCAGCCUGUGUGAGCUCCUUCGACGAGUCGAGUAGUUUGGGAAUGCUGCUCAAAAUGGGAGGAAAUUUCUUCUAAAGCUAAAUAUUGGCCAGAGACCGAUAGCGCACAA
rnacentral:rRNA from 1 species